rnacentral:rRNA from 1 species
AGUCGAGCGAACGGACGAGAAGCUUGCUUCUCUGAUGUUAGCGGCGGACGGGUGAGUAACACGUGGAUAACCUACCUAUAAGACUGGGAUAACUUCGGGAAACCGGAGCUAAUACCGGAUAAUAUUUUGAACCGCAUGGUUCAAAAGUGAAAGACGGUCUUGCUGUCACUUAUAGAUGGAUCCGCGCUGCAUUAGCUAGUUGGUAAGGUAACGGCUUACCAAGGCAACGAUGCAUAGCCGACCUGAGAGGGUGAUCGGCCACACUGGAACUGAGACACGGUCCAGACUCCUACGGGAGGCAGCUGUAGGGAAUCUUCCGCAAUGGGC